CGAUGUGAUCAUACCAGCACUAAAGCUCCGGAUCCCAUCAGAACUCCGAAGUUAAGCGUGCUUGGGCGAGAGUAGUACUAGGAUGGGUGACCUCCUGGGGUGACCUCCUGGGAAGUCCUCGUGUUACAUCCC
rnacentral:rRNA from 1 species